UCCCACGGGAGAGGUCCGUCCUUGAGAGACACCCCGUCCCCUGGCGCAGCACCCCGCAGGGCCGGGGGCUCCGCUCCGCUCCGCACGGCGCGUGGUGCCCCUGGGGCCGCGCGGCAGCACGCGGCACACCCGCCCCGAUGCGGGAGGCGGGGGCGCAGGGCGGGCGGCACAGCCCCGCAGCCCGGCUGGAGCGCGCCGCGUGGGCCACCCCGCGCAGGACCACUAGCCCCCUGGCUUUAUCUCCCGGACGGUGCUUGAGGGCGCAGGGAGCUUUUGUCAGCAUUGCGGUGUAGCGCCCGCCGUGGUCUGUGAAAGCCCCUUGCAAUAUGUGGACCUUGUGGCGGUUUUCGCGCUGAAAAAAUACUUGACUUCAAAUGCUGUAUGAGGAAAGCCUCCUACGUAGCUCUUGAUGAAACUGACACAAAGCACGAAGCCGUUACUAGUGGCAGGUUUAGCUUUCGUGCAAGCAGACGGGUCUCGGUGUUUUCCUGAAAGACAACUUGCUGCUCGCAGAACUGCUGCAUAGUGACAGAGGACUGCAUUGUGCGUACCGCGCUGAGACACGGAUAAAUGAUCACCAGGCUCUGAUUGCAUGCACUGUCAAUCACACAGGGUUGUGUGGAGCUGGAUAUGAGUUCAACUGGGUCCAACAGCUUUUGGGGGAAGAAGUGUUUCAGUGCAGGAGAAAUGCUCUUCCAUUGUCAUGCAGCCUGAUUUAUUGGGCCAAAUGUUGUUCUGACUUGCCAUAUGCCAUCUGACAUCAGGUGCACUAAAUGGAGCAAGAGAGAACACAGAACGGGCUCCUCACCAUCAGGAAGAGAUGCAAUUAAGGCAAACGAGAUGUAGCCCUUCCCUGGUUGGUUGUAAGCCUAAUUAAAGUAGCAGAACAGUCCAAUCAGGAAUAUAUCUGUAUUGACAUGAUUAUUGGGUUUUUAAAAAAAAACAUGGGCAUUCUCAUUUUGGGUGGCAUAUAUUGCAUCGAUAA